GGUAAGUGGUAUUUGGUGGUGGGUAUUUGUCCAGACACAUUUAAUGUACUAAAAUAAAGCUAUCACUAAAAACAAUGCAAUCUUCUGCAAAAACAGAUGUUUAUAUUGGGUUUGGGGUUGUUUGUUUGUUCUUUGUUUUUAUGUUACAGGUGUACUCUGUGUACAGCAUUGAAAUGUUUUCCCAAAUUACUGCAGUUCUGACCUGUACUGACUGUUCAUGCAGCUAAACUGAACAGCAGUCUUGUGCUGUAUUAUAAAGAAAAUCAGCUGUUUAAUUUAAAUUGUCAAGUUUAAAAAUGCUUUUUGUACUCUUCAAUGCCAAUGAGCAAACUACAGCACCACGAAAGAUCAAAAGCUUAGACAAUUGUGGCGACACUGCUCCCUCAAUUACUUUUAUAUAUGAUUUGUUUAAAAACAUUUCUUAGUUUGUAAAGAAUUAUAUUUUUUUUCCAUUUUGUUCUCCUGCUCCCAUAAGACUCUAACAUUAAUCAUCACAGCAGUAAUCCAUCUGAUGAUAAACUUAAGAAAUCAGCAACAGGGAAAAUAUAAAUGCUUUUAAAAUAGUACCUUUGAGAAUUAGAACUGGUUACAUUUAGAAGAAGAGAAAAAGCUGAUAAUCUCUGAUACUGGACAGGCUGUGUUGAUCUAAAGAAAAUAAUACCACUGAGUACAUGAUCGAGUGCCCUGCAGCUGGAAGAGGAGCUGUGCUCACCUGGGAGCUGACUGUGGCAGCCACUCUGUGCUACUGCCACUCUAAGGAACAUCAUCAGAUUCUUCCUUGCAUUUUCACCACACCCUGAAGGAUCUUAUGAAGUACAAGUCUUCUCUAAAAGUCCUGAAAAUACUUGGACUUGUGGAUUAUUUUCUUUUCAGAAAAGAAGGGAAAGCAGCUUUCUUUCAUCUCAUUUCUGCCAAAAACCUGCUAAGACCUAUUCACUUUAACACAUCAGUCAUAUCUUUUAACCUUUUACAUCUGACAGAGUUCUCAGAGAGAAGUCAAAAGUAAUAAUUUAUUUUUCUGUAUAUCCAUGAGUACCUGGUCAUCACCAGACAAUUAAAUUAAGUGCAUAAGUUUUAUUUCUUCUCAUUUUUUUCACCUCUUUUAUGUUUACAGCCCUCCCUGGAAAUCUGUAUUUACUGUUGGAAUGAAGGGUCCCCAAUAUCUCCUUAAAAGUUGUACUGUUUAAAGGCUAGUAGAGAACUCCUUCCUGUCAAUUCUCUUGACUACGAAGGUUGUAAAAUAGGAUGGAUUAGACAAUACUAAAGUAAUUACAAAGCAUUAAACAUUCCUGUCGAGCUAGACUGAAAUCAAAUAUUUAUACACCACUAAAUCAGUUUCUGAUUAUAAAGCUGUUGCCAAAUAGAUUCAAAUGCUAAAGGACAUGAUACUAAAUUAAUUGAAAUUUUACUGUGUUAUUUAUUUAGGCUAGUUAAACCUGUCUACAAGCCAUAAAAAUAAAGUUUAACAGUCCAGUUUUGUUAAUGAAGUUGAUGGUAAUGGAAUUACUUCACUAUUUUUAUGACAUCUUCUUGCACAGCCUUUUCUAAUAAUAAAAUUGCCACUUUAUAUCACAGCAGCCUCCAUUUGACUUAAUAUGCCAUCUCUGAUAAUGGCCAGUUCCAACACUCAGAUGAAUGUAAGAGAUCCUCUAAGCAGAGCAUUAAUGAACACAGUGUGCCCAAGGGAUGUUUCUUCUGUGCUCUGUUGACUGGAAUUUUUCUUAUAGCCUGAAGCUGAAGACUUUAUAUGCAUUCCAAAUACUUUCAAAUGUGUGAAUAUAAUGAAUCUGGGAAUGCCAAUAUCACUGAAAAAGCACAGUCUUUUUGAUCAGAUUCAGCUCCCAAAAUCUUAAUAUUUUAAUAAUGAUAAACUUGGUGUGGCUUGGUAGAAAUAUCAGCUUUAAAAUUUCUAUCUAUCUUUUAUAUCAAAUGCUCAAUUACUUUUCUUUUGUGGGGGAAGGUAAAUCUAAGUAGCAGUAUAACCUUGGUAGUAAGUCUGUUGCAUUCUCCUAGCAGAUUCUUCUUAUUGGUGUGCUAAUUAAAUAAAGUGGUCUCACUGGCAGGGAGAGAUGCAAAAUGAGCAGAUUCAUUGGGGGCCACAGAUGUAAUGAAAGCAGCUCUACCCUGAGACUGCUAACAGGAGUGCUAAUUAGUGCUGGUUACGGCAGUGCGUUUAUGGUAUGGACAGACUUCUACCAUGACUGGGUUUGAAUACCAAUUUUUGGCUCUCGUUCUCAUAAUGCAAGGAAGGAGAGAUGACACCUUGGAACCAGCUGUCCUGAGAUUCACUUGCCUCAGCGGAAUAGAACUGAGGAGAUUCUGUUCCAGCGCCAGAUUGGAAAGCUGCACACACGGCUGGAGAGCUCCCGCCUCAAACGUGCUGACAGCAUUGUUGUCGAGAAACAAGUGCUUCAGGUCUUGGAGUCCUUGAAAGUCCUGUGCUGUCACCCUUUGGAUCAGGUUAUUGCUGCAGUCGAGUUUCUGCAGCCUGCCGGGCAGCCUGAGGGGCACAGUGUGGAGCUGGUUCUUAGAGAGCUCCAGUGUUGUUAAGUUAGGAAGAAGCUGGGCACCAUCUAUUGAUGUCAGCUGAUUUUCUGACAGCAGGAACUCAGACAGAUUUUCUAGUUGUUUCACAUCUCGAAGUCUCACCAUUUUAAGUUGGUUUUUCUCUAAUUUUAGUGACAGCAGGGAUUUAGGUAGGUCUAGAGGCACUUUUGUCAGAAAAUUACCACUUAAGCUGAGAAAAUGUAGACUUUGGAAAGAUGCAAAGAAGUUGGUUGGGAAUGAAUAAAGUUUAUUAUCAGCCAUGCUCAGAUAUUUCAGCCUAGGAAGCCUAAGUGGUGCAGACACAAAUUCCAUGUUGUUGCCAUCCAGGAUCAGACUCUGUAAAUUGUAAAGGGAAGAAAAUGCACUCGGAGGCAGAGUUGCAAUCAAGUUGUUCCGAAGAUCAAGCACCCUUAGUUUCAUCAAACCUGCAAAAUCAGAUGCAUGCAGAGCAUUGAUGGAGUUGUCAGCGAGUCUUAAAACUUCAAGGCCAGAUGGGAGAAAGGUUCUUGUUUACAAAGCUUGCCAUCUUGUGUUUCAAGUUAAGCAGCAAACCUGAGUGAAUCUGGCAGAGCCCUCUAAGCUGAGAUAGGAGAAGUGUGCAAGGAGGGUGAGACAGGGAGUUCUCCAAGCACACCAGGUACUAAAAUAUUGGUUUUCUGAAAUUAGCAGAUAUGCUUCCCUUUGACCUCAGUGACUGACUCUUAAAAAAUCAUUCAUAUGGGAAUCCCCCCGAAAAGGCAACAUGAGCAAGUGUUCUGCACAGGAGUGGUGGGAAGGAGUGUCCUCAUCUGUUUUUCCUUCCCAUGUCCAAAGCCAUCUCCCUACAGGUCUCAGGCAUACCACACCAGUUUUAGAGAAGCUAAAGUGACAGUAGAUUCUUCCUGCUAUUUCCCCCAGGGCUUGGUGGCUCCCAGCACAUUUAGCUCUCAGGAAGCUAUAGAGCCUGUUCUACAGCAUAACCCCUCAUCCCAGUCAGGAAUCUGCAUGGAGGACAGUCCAAGUCCUUUUGCAGUACAGGUGCUGGGUAGUAAUUUUGAUCCAUAGUCCUGGUUGGAUACAUUUGACUAUCAUACUUCUGUUAAGUGAAAUCAGCUCAUAAAGGUGACUGUUAAAAGAGGUCUUACACUUUCAUUUAUCCAACUCUUGCAUAUUUUUGGGCUGUAUCUCUUUAUCUCAGCUCUGCAUUUUAACUUCUGUUAAAAUUUUAAAAUUAAAGCCUGCACAGCUGUGAAAGACGAGUCAGAUUUCAUUUUGCUGCGGUAUCCUUAGUUUAUCUUUCUGAUUAACUUGAUUCUGUCUUGCAAAGCAAUUUCUGAAUUGCAAAUUUUGAUGCAAUUACUGAGAAAGUAUAGAUAUGGAACCUCUAUUGAAGCAGGUUUCUCCACCAACUAUAUAUUAAUUCAAUGAGGGAAUAUACCUCCAUUAAAAACCUUAUAUUUUCAACAGUAACCAACAAAGUUGUCCAAAUUAUAUUACUUUAUUUUUCCAUAAUGCAGUGUUGUGUGUAUAUAUAGGUAUAUAGCAACAUCAGAACUGCUGAUGCCCAGUUUUGGUCAUGAUUAGGAAUGUAAUCUUAUACAUAGGAAUGAGCUGCAUUGGUCAAGAGCACAAAAACAUAAUCACAUGUAAUUAUAAAACCAUCUUAUGGAAAUUGAAACAAUUAUGAACCUUCACAAUUCAACACAUUUUCUCCUAGAAAACACAAAAGCAAUGUUUUCUGCUUUACAUCAGUUGAUUUCUGUAUGUCUCUGAGAGGCUUAAUUUUCAUCUUACUGAGAGACAGAGAGCUACGUGAAGGUCAAUGUACAGACAUUUAUUCUGUAAUGAUGUUAGGCUUCUUAAUGUGGAUUAUUAUAAUUUCUAUUUUCCACCUAUUUGGUAUGCAUUGCUAAGCUUUGUAACCAUACUGUUUUGAGACUUAAAUAUUUAUCCAUGCUUUUAUAAACCACCCAGUCUUUCUAAUACAAAUCAAAACAUAUUUGAAAGCUGACCAAAUCUUUUUUUUGCUAGGAAGCAGUGUUUUAUUUUCUAACUGGAUUGUCUGUAAAAUGAUACUAUUAUAGCUUUAUAUUUUAAAACACUGAUCUCUUGAAAGUUGAUCUAAUAUGCUGUUAUUUAAUACAAGUGUUUUAAGGCAUUUGCUUGUUUAAUUAUUUUUUUUUUGGCUUUUCGAGUUGCUGUGACCUGGAAUAUGUUAUAAGCAGAUUUUUGAAACAGUUCCCUAUGCUGGAAGCAAGGUAGAUGAUUUUCUUUUAGCAGAUAUUUAGCACUUAUUAAUAUAGUUAGAUAUAUAUUAAAUUUUUAAUUAAGAGUAAAAAGGUUGUAGUUGAUCUUCAAGUCAAGGAGGAAGCAGAAAAUAUUGAAAAAAGAUGCUAAAAUUAAUCUAGUUUUGCUAUUAUAAAGCCUUUUUAUAACAAACCCAAGGUUGUAAAAUUACCAAAAGUGAAAAUGCCAGACACUGUUUUUAAUGCUGAUCAGC